AAGUGCACACGGGGACCAACAGAUGAUUCACUGAUUCGUUUUGGGGUCAGGUGAAAUGAAAGGGAACACCUGGAAAAAAAUGAGGGCACAGGUACAGGGAAGUCAGAUUAUGGGCAGCCAUGACUGUUCUACUGCUAAUGGGACGCUGGUGUAGUUUUUCGUUCUUGUUUUUGUUUUUUUUUUUUUUAACUGGUGUAGGUUUUUAAAAGCAGAAGGUCACUGUCAAAAGUGUACCUUAGGAAGGCAACCCUGAUUGCACAGUGGUGGAAGAGCUGGAGGCGUCAAACUCUGGGACAGAAAAGAUCAUUCAUUCAGUUCCUAUGACAACAGUAGAGUGUGGACCAAACAUCUUGGCGUCACCCUUUACUCACUUCUCCCUUUCAUACUCCACAGUCAAGCCACCUCUGGUGCCAUCUCUGAAAUACAUUCUACACCCAAGUUCUAUACCCUGCUGCCAACACCAAGGACGCAGUAUCCACCUCCUGCCAGGCUGCCUGGUACACACCAGGAUGGGCUACCCAUAAACAAGCCACAGCCUGGAUAUGGCUGCUGGCCUUGCUUGCUGAUCCCUGCCAUCCUUGAUCUGGAUCCUUUCUACCUCUCUGACAUCACGAGCGUGCUCUCCAUCACUCCCUCUGCUCUAACCACACAGGCCCCUGCUCUGUUCUUCAGACAAGUAUGCUGCUCCCUCCUACCACAGGGCCUUGGCACAUGUGUUCCCCUCUGCCUGGAAUGCUCUCCCUCUAAUAUUCCUGUGGCUCAUUCCCAGGCUUCAUUCAGUUCUGCGCUCACAUUUCUCAUUUGGAGAAGCCUUCUCUGAUCACCCUUCCUAAAGGAAAAAUCACCCUUGCUCUGUCAUAGUUUGCUGUCUCAUUUCUUGAGGCAUGUAUUAUUAGCUGAUAUGAAUUCAUGUUAUUUCUGAUAUGUAUCUAUCCUCCUCUACUCCCCAGGAUAUAAGUUUCAUGAGUCUGUUGUAUUCUCUGCCACAACAGCACUUUUAUCAGUGCUGGGCAAACAGUAGGCACUCGUUCAUAUUUCCUGAAGAAAUAAAUAAUAAUUACAUCAAGUGGU